AGAACUCAAAGGAGACUUCUUUUAAGGACUUGUGUAUCCAAAAUUAAAAGUAAAACAUAUGAUCACUCUCUCGUAUAUAACCAUUAAUAUAUUAAGACAAAGGAAAAUAUGUGUUUUAAGAUAAUUGCACUUAUAGAAAAAAAUCUAUAUAUUUGUGGUGUCAACACUGAGGUUGUGAUUUCCAAACCCUGUAAUGGAAGGACUGUUUCUGCAAUCAUAUUUUACUAUGAUGUCAGUCAGUUUGGUGGUUCAAUUUAGCCACUCAAGCUUUGACCACCAAUAAAAACUGGCCGUUACAAAGUAGCCAGUAGUGCUAAAAGUGGCAUUAAAUGCCAAAAAACAAUCAGUUAUAUAAUUCUUAAAGAGCA
rnacentral:lncRNA from 1 species